UGAAAAUCCCAGAGAUCUUGGGGGCAGCAGGAAGAAGAAGCACACAGCCCAGAGAACUAUACUCUAGCAUCAGCUUCUGGCCUGAGCCACUGCAGGCACGUCGGUGUUGUGUUGUAGGCACGUUAACAUUGUCUCUUUAGUCUACUAAUUAUGCUAUACUGCAACUGCCUCACACUUUCAAAAAAACAACAACCCGGAAAUGACUGAUGAUGAGGGACUUCUAUAAGAUUCAAGCAGCAGCCCAUGACUCAACCUGUAUAAAUCAAGAGAGGAUCUGAAGGCAGCAUUGGGAAACUUCCACAAAGAGACUGGUAGGUUGCAUCUGGGAUGGCCAGGAUCAUUGACAGCCCACGGAGCUUAUAUAUCUCACCAUUUUCCUUACUGCUUGAGACCCUAAUUCUUCAGUUUUCUCUGAAAAGGAAUAGCAGUUUAAAGCAGAUUGCACAAGGGACAAAAGUCGUCUCCCAGAGAAGACGGGACAGACAGCUCCCUGGACAGGCCCAGCCACCUCAAACAAGAAUCCUCAGUCA